AAGAUAUGAGAAAAGAGGAGAAGAGAGAGAAGUGAGGCCACCACCAACCAAAGCAGGACCAGCAGACUGCAAACCACCCAGAGCAGACCAACAGAAGGAGAUACCAGACCAGACAGCAUCACCACCAGAACCAGAGGCACGGAGGAAGGACCAAAGACAUCAACAUAUGCCUAGAGAACCGGAGCAGACUAACGACCAGACCAGAUAUCAUCAAGACCCAAAACAACAACCACCCCUCCACCUGACCAAGAUCACCUGGAAGAACCCAGGAGUGAUGCACCGUAACAACGCGGUGAGGCUGACGCUAAUCCCCAUCGAGAAGGCUGCCGAAGACAGAGACACCAAUCGCCGAGGAGCAGCAAGA
rnacentral:lncRNA from 1 species